rnacentral:lncRNA from 1 species
AAGAGAGUGUGUGGUUACUGUCUGACUGUUGCUCAUUAACAUCCGUGUCGGCGUAGUGAAGCUGAGAGUUUUUGCUUGCUCUGAACAGGAAUCAACUUCAGGAACCCCGAUGGGAACAUCAGCACGGGCGUGGGGGGGCCCUGUCCUCAAGGGCACUUCUGCCCUGCUGGCACCAGCCUGCCCCUGCCCUGUCCGCUGGGGUCCUUCUCUGACAGGUCAGGCUGACGGGGGGGCCCAGCCGCAGUGAGGAGGCGCUCCGGCGGUGUGCACUCUCCCAUGACCCACCUGCGCACGAGCAGAUGUUUUUUGGAACUGGAACGCCUCCUUUCUGCGAUCAGAUCGGUGUUUUGCACGCACGGAAAUGAGCUCUGCAUGUCCAGAAAUGAGAAUACAAGCCUACUGGUGCUUUCGUCUGGGAGGAGUGAUAAUGUGGCCCCCUCCCCCCUCUCUCUCUGUCUCCCUCUGUUCCUGGGACAGCCUCCACGUGUCUGCGCAGUCGGGCUGCAGUCCCUGCCCCCCAGGGCAGUUCUGUGACGUGGAGGGGCUGGUCCAGCCUUCAGGACUGUGUAGAGAGGGCUUCUACUGCCCCAGAGGGGCUAUCUCACCCACCGGAUCUGGAGGAGGAGGCCGGCCUUGCCCUGCUGCCCACUACUGCCCCGCAGGCAGUGCCCAGCCCCUGCCCUGCUCGGCGGGCACCUACGCCAACCUGACCGGCCGGGCCCGGUGUUCCCGCUGCAGGGCGGGGUACUUCUGCCCAGAGAGGACCAGCACGUACAGCUCCUUCCCCUGCCCCCCCGGCUUCUACUGCCCCGAUGGCACCAGGUAUGCCACUGAGUUUCCCUGCCCCAGGGGCUACUACAACCCAGAGCCCAUGACCCAGAGCGUGGACAGCUGCCUGCCCUGCCCUCCUGGCCAUUACUGUGAGAAGGAGAGGCUCACUGCUGUGUCAGGAAAAUGCAAAGCUGGUUGGUUCUGUGUGUCUGCUGCUUGGAACUCCCAGCCCUUCGACUUGGACAACUACACUAAUGCCAACUGCCUGUGCCCAGCCACCUCCACGGGAGGAAAGUGCCAGGAAGGGUACUACUGUCCCGAGGGGAGCUCUGAACCCCUGCUCUGCCCUCCUGGCUCCUUCUGCAACACGUCAGGUGCAGUGCUCCGUUUCCUGACCUCAUACUGUAGCUCCCCAGCUGUCCUCUCUGUUGUUCUUUUUAAGGUGGAUCUGUCACCCAAUGCAGAAGAGGCAGCCCUUCUUAGCAUUUCUAUAAGACCACCUUAUUGCAA